AGGGCAGACGGUGGAUGCCUUGGCUCUCGGAGGCGACGAAGGACGUGAUAAGCUGCGAAAAGCCCGGGGGAGGCGCAAAUAGCCCUUGAUCCCGGGAUAUCCGAAUGGGGCAACCCGGCAGGCUGAAGGCCUGCCAUCCCGUAAGGGAGGCGAACGUGGGGAACUGAAACAUCUAAGUACCCAUAGGAGGAGAAAAUAAACAAUGAUUCCGUAAGUAGUGGCGAGCGAACACGGAAGAGCCCAAACCCAUGUCGUCUAGGCGACACGGGGGUUGUAGGACCACGACGUGGCAAGAUAGAGUCAAGUGGAACGCCUUGGAAAAGGCGGUCAUAGAGGGUGAAAACCCCGUACACGACUGACGAUUGAAGCCUAGUGGCAUCCUGAGUAGCGCGGGGCACGAGAAAUCUUGCGUGAAACAGCGGGGCCCAUCCCGUAAGGCUAAAUACUCCCGAGAGACCGAUAGCGAACCAGUACCGUGAGGGAAAGGUGAAAAGAACCCCGAGCAGGGGAGUGAAAUAGACCCUGAACCCGUCUGCCUACAAGCGGUCGGAGCAUAGCAAUAUGUGACGGCGUGCCUUUUGCAUAAUGAACCUACGAGUUACCUUCCCCGGCAAGGUUAAGUACCUAAGGUACGGAGCCGAAGCGAAAGCGAGUCUGAAGAGGGCGGCCAGUCGGGGGGGGUAGACGCGAAACCGAGUGAUCUACCCUUGGCCAGGUUGAAGGUUGGGUAACACCAACUGGAGGACCGGAUGGGUAAGCGUUGAAAAGCUUUCCAAUGAGCUGAGGGUAGGGGUGAAAGGCUAAUCAAACUCGGAGAUAGCUCGUACUCCCCGAAAUGCAUUUAGGUGCAGCCUCUUUAUAGUAUAUCGUGAGGUAGAGCGACUGAUUGGAUGCGAGGGCUUCACCGCCUAUCAAGUCCAGAUAAACUCCGAAUGCGCGAUAUAUAUUUACAGGGAGUGAGGGCGCGGGUGCUAAGGUCCGUGUCCGAGAGGAGAAGAAUCCAGACCACCGGCUAAGGCCCCCAAAUGAUCGUUGAGUUGAACUAACGAGGUCGGAUCGCAGAGACAGCUAGGAUGUUGGCUUGGAAGCAGCCAUUCAUUUAAAGAGUGCGUAACAGCUCACUAGUCGAGCGAUCUGGCGUGGAUAAUAAUCGGGCAUAAACGAUCUGCCGAAGCCGUGGAUGUCGUAAGACAUGGUAGGGGAGCAUUCCAUGCGGCGUCGAAGAUGAGGGAUGACCCUUGUUGGAGCGCAUGGAAAAGCAAAUGUAGGUAUGAGUAACGAUAAGGGGGGCGAGAAACCCCCCCGCCGAAAGACCAAGGUUUCCUGAUCAACGCUAAUCGGAUCAGGGUGAGUCGGGACCUAAGGCAAAGCCGAACGGCGCCGCCGAUGGAAGAAUGGGUUAAUAUUCCCAUACUGCCUCAUGGAGUGACGUGGAGACGGAGAAGUGACAGUCCUGCCGGCUGACGGAAUAGCCGGUUGAAGGGUGUAGAUAUUGAUUCCCGUAGGCAAAUCCGCGGGGAGAGUCGAACCUGACAGUAUACCGAGUACUUGUACGAGGUAAUAUGGACGUAACCAUGCUCCCAAGAAAAUCCGCUAAACUUAUCCAUGCGGCACCCGUACCGUAAACGGACACACGUGGUCGGGUUGAGAAUACUGAGGCGCUCGAGUGACUCACGGUUAAGGAACUAGGCAAAUUGACCCUGUAACUUCGGGAUAAAGGGUCCUCGUCGUAAGGCGAGGCGCAGAGAAUAGGUCCAGGCAACUGUUUAACAAAAACACAUGGCUAUGCUAAAUGGAAACAUGACGUAUAUAGCCUGACACCUGCCCGGUGCUGGAAGGUUAAGAGGAGAUGUCAUCGCAAGAGAAGCAUUGAAUUGAAGCCCCAGUAAACGGCGGCCGUAACUAUAACGGUCCUAAGGUAGCGAAAUUCCUUGUCGGGUAAGUUCCGACCUGCACGAAUGGUGUAAUGAUCUGGACACUGUCUCAACCGUGAGCUCAGUGAAAUUGUAGUAUCGGUGAAGAUGCCGAUUACCCGCGAUGGGACGAAAAGACCCCGUGAACCUUUACUAUAGCUUAACAUUGAAUUUGGGUAAUUGAUGUGUAGGAUAGGCCGGAGACUUCGAAGCAGGUACGCCAGUAUUUGUGGAGUCGCUGUUGAAAUACGGCCCUUUGAUUAUUUGAGUUCUAACUCGUAGUUGCGAGGACACUGUUUGGUGGGUAGUUUGACUGGGGUGGUCGCCUCCAAAAGUGUAACGGAGGCUUCUAAAGGUGCCCUCAGGACGAUUGGUAACCGUCCGCAGAGUGUAAUGGCAUAAGGGCGCUUGACUGGGAGACUUACAAGUCGAUCAGG
rnacentral:rRNA from 1 species